rnacentral:lncRNA from 1 species
CCUCUUUGAAGAUUGAUAUGGAUUCCUAAAGUUCACCCAAAAACGUUCUUUUGAAGAUGGCUUUGAACUUUCUAGAGUUUGGAGUUUUCACCCAUAAAAUCCAUAUAAGUAUUUGGGGAUUUCACCCAUAAAUACCAUCUAAAUUGGUCACAAAAUGAUAAAACACAUCAACAUGAACUACCAAAUAGAAGCUAGUAAUAACAAACCACACACACUUUAAUCCC